UACAGAGGGUGCAAGCGUUGCUCGGAAUUACUGGGCGUAAAGCGUGUGUAGGCGGUCCUAAAAGUGGGGUGUGAAAGCCCUGGGCUCAACCCAGGAACUGCGCCCCAAACUGCAGGACUUGAGUGUCGGAGAGGAUAGUGGAAUUCCCAGUGUAGAGGUGAAAUUCGUAGAUAUUGGGAGGAACACCAGUGGCGAAGGCGGCUAUCUGGACGAACACUGACGCUGAGACACGAAAGCGUGGGGAGCAAACAGG
rnacentral:rRNA from 1 species